GUUCAAUUGCAAGCAGUGAGCAUUGAACGCGGUGCUCAAUGGUCACGGGUUUGGUUUCUACCCGAAGCUCUUGCAACUUCCAAGAUAUACCGAUUGUAUAUGUUUCUUCGCAAGGCAGCGAUUAGCUAUCUUUAUAUGUUAUUUACAGGAUCAGUCUUAUUUGAACUUGCGUUUGUAACAAGUAGAAGUUAUCUGCAUUGUGUUCGGUAAUAUGUAACAAACAAACGAUGUUUCAAAAAAAUAAAAAUAAAAAAUAAAAUAUAUAUAACAAUAACACCCAAAAGGCACAAGCAGGCAGCAGCAGUAAUUCCUUCGCACAAACACUAUAGUCUAUUUCAGCAACAAAGGAAGGAAUCGAAGCAGCAAGGUGAGCCAUCAACCCUAGAUCCAUGGUAAACCAAUUAGACUGGAGGAGGGAUGACCACCGGAGAUUUGCGUCACAGGCGAGCCUGCCGGCGGAGAUAAGUUGCCGGUAGGGUCCGCCACGCGCCGUCAAGUGCCAAGGGUUACUGCCGCGUGACGUGAUGACUCCAACCGACCUCCGGCAACUCCUCACGAACUCGCUUCCCUUAAAUCUGCAGAGAUUAUGUCCUCUACAGCUACCAAAAAGCACGAAAAAUGGAGAAAUUGAAAGAAAAUUGCACUGCUUUGCAUCGGUUUACAUUCCAGCGGAGAAAUGAGCUCGACUAUGUUGUAAAAUCUAACACAGGAAUAAAAGAUCCGUCAUGAUAGGAAUAGAUCUUGAACGGACAUCAGGAGAACAUCAAAAAGAAGAUGGUGGGACUCAAGUGAAUGUAGAUGCAGAGGACUGUGGAGGUGAAGUAUGCAAUAGAGAUGGAGUUACAGUGAGUAAUGCUGAACAUGAUAAAGCAAAAGCAGGAGAAAAUGUGAGUGGAGGCACAUCAGUUGCUCAACAUAAAGUGUCAACCACUGAUGAUAUGGAUAUGAAUUGCCAUACAAGCAUAGAGCCUCAUGAUAGCAUGGAGUUCGAAUCCAAGGAGGCGGCCUUUUUGUUUUAUAAAGAAUAUGCCAAGUCUGUUGGGUUUGCUACCAUUAUAAAGGCCAGUCGGCGAUCUAGAAUAUCUGGAAAGUUUAUUGAUGCUAAAUUUGUGUGUACUAGAUAUGGAAGUAAGCAAGAAUCUGCUGCAUCUAAAAUUCCAGAACCUGUUCCACAUGUAGACAGCAUGCCAGGCAUACCUAUCAAGAAGAAGAGAGGUAGAAUAAAUAGAUCUUGGUCAAAAACAGAUUGCAAGGCUUGCAUGCAUGUCAAGAGAACACAGGAUGGAAGGUGGGUUGUUCAUACUUUUAUAAAGGAACAUAACCAUGAAAUAUUUCCAGAUCAGGACUAUUACUUCCGAGGUCAUAGGAACAUAGAUCUAGGUAAUAACAAUGUUGAUGCUUUGCAUGCUAUCCGGGCUAGAACAAAAAAGAUGUACACGACAAUGUCCAGACAAUCUGGUGGAAUUAAGAAAGUCUCUACUCAAAAGAGUGGCAUCUCAAAUAGUAGUCAACCGCAUUUGCCUUUGGAAGAUGGGGAUGCACAAGCUAUGCUUGAACAUUUUUUGUACAUGCAAGAUGAGAAUCCCAACUUCUUCUAUGCACUAGAUUUGAAUGAAGAGCAACUAUUGAGAAAUGUUUUCUGGGUUGAUGCCAAAGGACGGCUUGAUUAUAGAAAUUUUGAUGAUGUAGUAUUUUUUGACACUACAUAUAUCAAGAAUGAAUAUAAAUUGCCGUUUGCUACCUUCACUGGGGUGAACCAUCAUUGCCAAUUCAUUUUGCUUGGAUGUGCAUUACUAGCAGAUGAGUCUAGAUCUACAUAUUCUUGGGUGAUGCAGUCAUGGCUAAGAGCAAUGGGUAAACAUUCUCCAAAAGUUAUAUUGACUGACCAAGACAAAUCCUUGAAGGAAUCUGUUGCUGAGAUUUUUCCAGAUGCUCGCCAUUGUUUUUGUUUGUGGCAUAUAUUGAACAAGAUUCCAGAAAAGCUUGGUUCUGUGUUGAGGCAACAUGAAAGUUUCAUGCCCAAAUUUAACAAAUGCAUUUUUAAAUCUUUUACAGAUGGCGAGUUCAAAAAAAGGUGGUGGAAAAUGGUCAAUCGAUUCAAUUUAAGAAAUGACAUAUGGUUUCAAUCAUUGUAUGAAGAUCGUGAGCAGUGGACUCCGACAUAUAUGAGAGAGAUUUUUUUGGCAGGAAUGUCAACAACCCAAAGAUCAGAAAGUGCAAGCACCCUCCUUGAUAAGUACAUGCAAAGGAGAACGACACUUAAAGAGUUCUUAGACCAAUAUAAAACAAUUUUACAGGAUAAAUUUGAAGAAGAAGCAAAGGUGGAUUUUGAAACAUGGCAUAAAGAACCAACAUUAAAAUCUCCCUCACCUUUUGGGAAACAAAUGGCAACCAUUUACACACAUGCUGUAUUCAAGAAAUUCCAAGUGGAGGUUUUGGGAGUGGUGGCAUGCCAUCCCAAAAAAGAAACUGAAGACAGUGGAACCACAACAUUCAAGGUUCAAGAUUUUGAAGAUAAUCAUGGUUUUGUUGUGGUGUGGAAUGAGAAAACAUCUUAUAUUUCUUGUUCUUGUCAUUUGUUUGAAUACAAUGGUUUCCUUUGUAGACAUGUGAUGAUAGUUCUUCAAAUGUAUGGUGUGCACAAUAUUCCACCUCAAUAUAUUUUGAAACGCUGGACAAAGGAUGCUAAGAGUAGACAAAUUAGGACACAGGGUUCUGAGGGUGUUGAGAGUAGGGCCCAGCGCUAUAAUGAUAUAUGUCAACUGGUCUUUAAAUUGGGUGAUGAAGGGUCUUUAUCCCAGGGUAGUUACAACAUUGCAUUCAAUGCACUGGAAGAAGCUUUGAAGAAGUGUGGGAAAGCGAACAACUCAAUUCAAAAUGUCCAAGAGCCAGGCUCACCUUUGAUUCAUGCUCUCCAUGACUUUGAAGAAGGUAUUGGAGGUAAUGUUACAAGCAAAACAAAUAAAAGCAGCAUCACCAAAAAACGACAGGAACAGACAGAACCAGAGUUAACCACCUUGGGAGUGCAGGACAGCUGGCAACAAAUGGGACACUCAAAUUUACAAGCACCGACCCUUGGUUGUUCUUAUGAGCUGCAACAGAGCAUACAAGGGAUGGAGCAUCUGACUGCAAGAGUUCCAACACAUGAUGGCUAUUUUGGCACUCAGCAAAUUAUUCAAGGGAUGUUAAGUGCAGCAGCUCCAAGCCGUGAUGAUUACUUCAGUAGUCAACAGAGCAUGCAGGGGCUGGGACAAUUGCAUUCAAUAGCUCCAAUAUAUGAUGGCCCUUACCUUAAUCAGCAGAGGUUGCUUGGACUGGGGCAAUUACAUUUUAGGCCGCAAAGUGUUCAAACUUGUUUCAAUAUUCAAGACAACAUACAGGACAUGGGGCAGUCUAAUGUGGGACCCAUGCAAUUGCAUGUCAUGGGAACAAAGGCUGUGCACCCAAAGCAGAGGUAGCUGCUAAUCCAAGUAAGUAGCUUAUGAGGGUGGUCAUAUCUUCAAAGACGUUUACAUCAAGAACUGCAGAUCAUUGUUAUUUUCAUGGAUAGCUCGAUCUGAUGGUUUUAGCCUUUUAGGGGUGGAGGAGACUGACUGCACGUAUAUACGUGAAUUGCGCCCAGUAAUUUGACCAUUUUUACUCUUAAUACAUUACAAUUCUACCCUAACUGCAUCUUAAGUUCUUAUUUAAUUUCUUGUUAUUAUGAAGUUAGUAGGGAGAACAUAUGGUGAUUGUAAAGCCCCCAGCCCCAACGCCCCCCCCCCCCCCCCCCCCCCAAAAAAAAAAAAAAAAAAAAAAAAAACCCUCAGAAGAAGCUCAAUUGUAAAUGUUGCUUGCUGUCAAAACCUUGAGGAUGAUAGCUACUGGUUUACUUGGCCAUAGUUUUUUGUUCUUUUGGAAAUAAUAAUUGAAUUUUGUAAA